GGUUAAGCGACUAAGCGUACACGGUGGAUGCCCUGGCAGUCAGAGGCGAUGAAGGACGUGCUAAUCUGCGAUAAGCGUCGGUGAGGUGAUAUGAACCGUUAUAACCGGCGAUUUCCGAAUGGGGAAACCCAGUGUGUUUCGACACACUAUCAUUAACUGAAUCCAUAGGUUAAUGAGGCGAACCGGGGGAACUGAAACAUCUAAGUACCCCGAGGAAAAGAAAUCAACCGAGAUUCCCCCAGUAGCGGCGAGCGAACGGGGAGGAGCCCAGAGCCUGAAUCAGUGUGUGUGUUAGUGGAAGCGUCUGGAAAGGCGCGCGAUACAGGGUGACAGCCCCGUACACAAAAAUGCACAUACUGUGAGCUCGAUGAGUAGGGCGGGACACGUGGUAUCCUGUCUGAAUAUGGGGGGACCAUCCUCCAAGGCUAAAUACUCCUGACUGACCGAUAGUGAACCAGUACCGUGAGGGAAAGGCGAAAAGAACCCCGGCGAGGGGAGUGAAAAAGAACCUGAAACCGUGUACGUACAAGCAGUGGGAGCCUCUUAAUGGGGUGACUGCGUACCUUUUGUAUAAUGGGUCAGCGACUUAUAUUCUGUAGCAAGGUUAACCGAAUAGGGGAGCCGAAGGGAAACCGAGUCUUAACUGGGCGUUAAGUUGCAGGGUAUAGACCCGAAACCCGGUGAUCUAGCUAUGGGCAGGUUGAAGGUUGGGUAACACUAACUGGAGGACCGAACCGACUAAUGUUGAAAAAUUAGCGGAUGACUUGUGGCUGGGGGUGAAAGGCCAAUCAAACCGGGAGAUAGCUGGUUCUCCCCGAAAGCUAUUUAGGUAGCGCCUCGUGAAUUCAUCUCCGGGGGUAGAGCACUGUUUCGGCAAGGGGGUCAUCCCGACUUACCAACCCGAUGCAAACUGCGAAUACCGGAGAAUGUUAUCACGGGAGACACACGGCGGGUGCUAACGUCCGUCGUGAAGAGGGAAACAACCCAGACCGCCAGCUAAGGUCCCAAAGUCAUGGUUAAGUGGGAAACGAUGUGGGAAGGCCCAGACAGCCAGGAUGUUGGCUUAGAAGCAGCCAUCAUUUAAAGAAAGCGUAAUAGCUCACUGGUCGAGUCGGCCUGCGCGGAAGAUGUAACGGGGCUAAACCAUGCACCGAAGCUGCGGCAGCGACGCUUAUGCGUUGUUGGGUAGGGGAGCGUUCUGUAAGCCUGUGAAGGUGGCCUGUGAGGGUUGCUGGAGGUAUCAGAAGUGCGAAUGCUGACAUAAGUAACGAUAAAGCGGGUGAAAAGCCCGCUCGCCGGAAGACCAAGGGUUCCUGUCCAACGUUAAUCGGGGCAGGGUGAGUCGACCCCUAAGGCGAGGCCGAAAGGCGUAGUCGAUGGGAAACAGGUUAAUAUUCCUGUACUUGGUGUUACUGCGAAGGGGGGACGGAGAAGGCUAUGUUGGCCGGGCGACGGUUGUCCCGGUUUAAGCGUGUAGGCUGGUUUUCCAGGCAAAUCCGGAAAAUCAAGGCUGAGGCGUGAUGACGAGGCACUACGGUGCUGAAGCGACAAAUGCCCUGCUUCCAGGAAAAGCCUCUAAGCAUCAGGUAACAUUAAAUCGUACCCCAAACCGACACAGGUGGUCAGGUAGAGAAUACCAAGGCGCUUGAGAGAACUCGGGUGAAGGAACUAGGCAAAAUGGUGCCGUAACUUCGGGAGAAGGCACGCUGAUAUGUAGGUGAAGCGACUUGCUCGUGGAGCUGAAAUCAGUCGAAGAUACCAGCUGGCUGCAACUGUUUAUUAAAAACACAGCACUGUGCAAACACGAAAGUGGACGUAUACGGUGUGACGCCUGCCCGGUGCCGGAAGGUUAAUUGAUGGGGUUAGCGGUAACGCGAAGCUCUUGAUCGAAGCCCCGGUAAACGGCGGCCGUAACUAUAACGGUCCUAAGGUAGCGAAAUUCCUUGUCGGGUAAGUUCCGACCUGCACGAAUGGCGUAAUGAUGGCCAGGCUGUCUCCACCCGAGACUCAGUGAAAUUGAACUCGCUGUGAAGAUGCAGUGUACCCGCGGCAAGACGGAAAGACCCCGUGAACCUUUACUAUAGCUUGACACUGAACAUUGAGCCUUGAUGUGUAGGAUAGGUGGGAGGCUUUGAAGUGUGGACGCCAGUCUGCAUGGAGCCGACCUUGAAAUACCACCCUUUAAUGUUUGAUGUUCUAACGUGGGCCCCUUACCGGGGUUGCGGACAGUGUCUGGUGGGUAGUUUGACUGGGGCGGUCUCCUCCUAAAGAGUAACGGAGGAGCACGAAGGUUGGCUAAUCCUGGUCGGACAUCAGGAGGUUAGUGCAAUGGCAUAAGCCAGCUUGACUGCGAGCGUGACGGCGCGAGCAGGUGCGAAAGCAGGUCAUAGUGAUCCGGUGGUUCUGAAUGGAAGGGCCAUCGCUCAACGGAUAAAAGGUACUCCGGGGAUAACAGGCUGAUACCGCCCAAGAGUUCAUAUCGACGGCGGUGUUUGGCACCUCGAUGUCGGCUCAUCACAUCCUGGGGCUGAAGUAGGUCCCAAGGGUAUGGCUGUUCGCCAUUUAAAGUGGUACGCGAGCUGGGUUUAGAACGUCGUGAGACAGUUCGGUCCCUAUCUGCCGUGGGCGCUGGAGAACUGAGGGGGGCUGCUCCUAGUACGAGAGGACCGGAGUGGACGCAUCACUGGUGUUCGGGUUGUCAUGCCAAUGGCACUGCCCGGUAGCUAAAUGCGGAAGAGAUAAGUGCUGAAAGCAUCUAAGCACGAAACUUGCCCCGAGAUGAGUUCUCCCUGACUCCUUGAGAGUCCUGAAGGAGCGUUGAAGACGACGACGUUGAUAGGCCGGGUGUGUAAGCGCAGCGAUGCGUUGAGCUAACCGGUACUAAUGAACCGUGAGGCUUAACCUU
rnacentral:rRNA from 1 species